rnacentral:rRNA from 1 species
AGUGAACGCUGGCGGUAGGCCUAACACAUGCAAGUCGAACGGCAGCACAGUAAGAGCUUGCUCUUACGGGUGGCGAGUGGCGGACGGGUGAGGAAUACAUCGGAAUCUACUUUUUCGUGGGGGAUAACGUAGGGAAACUUACGCUAAUACCGCAUACGACCUACGGGUGAAAGCAGGGGAUCUUCGGACCUUGCGCGAUUGAAUGAGCCGAUGUCGGAUUAGCUAGUUGGCGGGGUAAAGGCCCACCAAGGCGACGAUCCGUAGCUGGUCUGAGAGGAUGAUCAGCAAAACUGGAACUGAGACACGGGCCAGAGUCCUACGGGAGGCAGCAGUGGGGAAUAUUGGACAAUGGGCGCAAGCCUGAUCCAGCCAUACCGCGUGGGUGAAGAAGGCCUUCGGGUUGUAAAGCCCUUUUGUUGGGAAAGAAAAGCAGCAGGUUAAUACCCCGCUGUUCUGACGGUACCCAAAGAAUAAGCACCGGCUAACUUCGUG